rnacentral:rRNA from 1 species
CAGUCGCCACGGGAAUACGGAGGGGGCUAGCGUUGUUCGGAAUUACUGGGCGUAAAGCGCACGUAGGCGGCUUGGUAAGUUAGAGGUGAAAGCCCGGAGCUCAACUCCGGAAUUGCCUUUAAGACUGCCGGGCUAGCAGGUGAGAGAGGUAAGUGGAAUUCCGAGUGUAGAGGUGAAAUUCGUAGAUAUUCGGAAGAACACCAGUGGCGAAGGCGGCUUACUGGCUCAUACUGGACGCUGAGGUGCGAAAGCGUGGGGAGCAAACAGGAUUAGAUACCCGUGUAGUCCCUGUCUCUUAUAC